AUCGUCAUGCCUUCAAUAAGGUAAAUUCAAUAAGUAAAUUGUUCAUUUUAAAUUAUCUAUCUUAAUAUACGAUAUUAUAAAAACACUCCAAAAACGAUUAAUAUUCUUGAACAACAAAAUUAAAAACAACCAAUAACUUAAUAUUAGUUCACUAAUAAAAUACUCUAGCGACAAAACAGUGAACCAUUUAUUUCACUAAGACGUAACAUGCAAUAUGUUGAACAUUAAUCUCUAUCUAGAAAAGAUAGUGUCUAAGGAAUAAAUUUGCGAGGACAGGCGAAUGGAGAAGUUCGUAGGAAUUGUCAUGAAGAAUGGAUAGGUGGUCGUUCAUAAAUGGGUAUUCGCCAAAAGUUUUAGUUUUAGUUUUUUGAUUUUACAUUUAUUAGUUUAUGGUACGACAUAUAUUAGUCAAGAUUGAAAUAAAAGAAUUUUGAUAAUUUGAUAUACAUCUUAUUGAAAUCGAUAUUGAAGUUCUUGCAUUAAUUAUUGCAACUGUGAAAAUUGUGAUAAAGAGAAUAAAAUUGCGCUCUAUUGAAUCAGCUUGUUAUUAAAAUAAUCGAUAAAAUAAAAAUAAUAUUAAAAUGGAAGGAAAUUUUUAUAAAUCAAAAUAUCAUGUUUCUGACUUUUUUGGAUUUGAGAGUUCUCAACGAUUAUUGAAUAAAUAUCCUUACCAUCCCACAUAAAAGUAUAAACUAAAUGAUGCAAACAUGAGUUAAAGAUCGAUAAAACAACUACAAUGAGUCUCCAUUCAAUAGAAGUCGUAAACAAGCGCCGCGCGCGCGUACACAAAUUAACAUAACAAUAUUACAAUCUUAAUUAACAAAUUGUCGACAUCGUAAAUCGAUUUUUUCUUUUUUUUACACUGUACUGACUUACUAUCUUUUUUAAAUCUUUCAAAAAAGAUAUAUAAAUAAGAAAUAUACUUAAAAUUUUGUC